CCUACGGGAGGCAGCAGUGAGGAAUAUUGGUCAAUGGGCGGAAGCCUGAACCAGCCAAGUCGCGUGAGGGAAUAAGGCCCUACGGGUCGUAAACCUCUUUUGCCGGGGAGCAAGGGCUGGGACGUGUCCCGACCGGGAGAGUACCCGGAGAAAAAGCAUCGGCUAACUCCGUGCCAGCAGCCGCGGUAAUACGGAGGAUGCGAGCGUUAUCCGGAUUUAUUGGGUUUAAAGGGUGCGUAGGCGGGCAUUUAAGCCAGCGGUAAAAUUUCGGGGCUCAACCCCGUCCCGCCGUUGAAACUGGGUGCCUUGAGUGGGCGAGAAGUAUGCGGAAUGCGUGGUGUAGCGGUGAAAUGCAUAGAUAUCACGCAGAACCCCGAUUGCGAAGGCAGCAUACCGGCGCCCAACUGACGCUGAGGCACGAAAGUGCGGGGAUCGAACAGGAUUAGAUACCCGUGUAGUC
rnacentral:rRNA from 1 species